rnacentral:rRNA from 1 species
GACGAACGCUGGCGGCGUGCUUAACACAUGCAAGUCGAACGGAAAGGCCCCCAUCUUGGUGGGGGUGCUCGAGGGGCGAACGGGUGAGUAACACGUGGGUGAUCUGCCCUGUACUUCGGGAUAAGCUUGGGAAACUGGGUCUAAUACCGGAUAGGACCAUGGUUUAGGGUCCCAUGGUGGAAAGAUUAUUGUUUUGGUGCAGGAUGAGCUCGCGGCCUAUCUGCUUGUUGGUGGGGUAAUGGCCUACCAAGGCGGCGACGGGUAGCCGGCCGGAGAGGGUGGACGGCCACAUUGGGACUGGGCCACGGCCCCUACGCCUGCGGGAGGCAGGGGUGGUUAGUCUUGCACGAUGGGCGUAAGCCUGCCGCAGCGCCGCCGCGUGGGGGAUGUCGGCCUUCGGGUUGUAAUCUCCUUUCGUUAGGGACGAAGCCACGCUUUUGGGGUGUGGUGACCGUUCCUUGGUGAAGAAGCACCGGCUAACUACGUG